GCCAAGGUGGCGGAGAGGCUACGCAAAUGCCUGCAGAACCAUAGCGGAUAGCAUUACCACUCCGGUUCGAAUCCGGACCUUGGCU
rnacentral:tRNA from 1 species